rnacentral:rRNA from 1 species
GGAAUAUUGCACAAUGGGCGCAAGCCUGUUGCAGCCAUGCCGCGCGUGUGAAGAGGGCUGUCGGGUUGUAAAGCACUCUCAGCGGGGAGGAAGGCGGUAAGGUUAAUAACCUUGUCGAUUGACGUUACCCGCAGAAGAAGCACCGGCUAACUCCGUGCCAGCAGCCGCGGUAAUACGGAGGGUGCAAGCGUUAAUCGGAAUUACUGGGCGUAAAGCGCACGCAGGCGGUCUGUCAAGUCGGAUGUGAAAUCCCCGGGCUCAACCUGGGAACUGCAUUCGAAACUGGCAGGCUAGAGUCUUGUAGAGGGGGGUAGAAUUCCAGGUGUAGCGGUGAAAUGCGUAGAGAUCUGGAGGAAUACCGGUGGCGAAGGCGGCCCCCUGGACAAAGACUGACGCUCAGGUGCGAAAGCGUGGGGAGCA